rnacentral:rRNA from 1 species
GCCUGCGGAAGGAUCAUUAAUAAUGGGCUACUGGCCGUGGGAAUUAGCGAAGGCUGAGAUGCUGGAGUGAAAUGAACCCCACAGAGACGCUGUAAACGUUCAGGGUGGCUAUUCAGGAUUAGGGAGAGUAGGCUGGGGUGAAGCCCUCCGAAACCCCGAAGCUGGUGAACUAACUUGACUCGAUUACACGCGAUCCAACAUUCUUGUUUAAUAUACCUUAGUUGCUUUGGCAGGCCACAGUUUACUGUGUAGGCUCCGGCUUACCGUGCCUGCCAGAGGACCAACAUAAUCUAUAGUUAGUGAUGUCUGAGUACUAUUUAAUAGUUAAAACUUUCAACAACGGAUCUCUUGGUUCUGGCAUCGAUGAAGAACGCAGCGAAAUGCGAUAAGUAAUGCGAAUUGCAGAAUUCAGUGAGUCAUCGAAUCUUUGAACGCACAUUGCGCCCCUUGGUAUUCCGAGGGGCAUGCCUGUUCGAGCGUCAUUAUAACCCUCAAGCCUAGCUUGGUAUUGGGGUCGCUGUACAGCGGCCCCUAAAAUCAGUGGCGGUGCCUGUAGGUUCUACGCGUAGUAAUUUUUCUCGCUAUGGAUCCCUAUAAGUGCUUGCCAACAACCCCAAAU